rnacentral:rRNA from 1 species
GAAUUCGCCCUUAGAGUUUGAUCCUGGCUCAGGACGAACGCUGGCGGCGCGCCUAACACAUGCAAGUCGAACGAGCGAGAGAGAGCUUGCUUUCUCGAGCGAGUGGCGAACGGGUGAGUAACGCGUGGGGAACCUGCCUCAAAGAGGGGGACAACAGUUGGAAACGACUGCUAAUACCGCAUAAGCCCACGACCCGGCAUCGGGUUGAGGGAAAAGGAGCAAUCCGCUUUGAGAUGGCCUCGCGUCCGAUUAGCUAGUUGGUGAGGUAACGGCCCACCAAGGCAACGAUCGGUAGCCGGACUGAGAGGUUGAACGGCCACAUUGGGACUGAGACACGGCCCAGACUCCUACGGGAGGCAGCAGUGGGGAAUAUUGCACAAUGGGGGAAACCCUGAUGCAGCGACGCCGCGUGGAGGAAGAAGGUCUUCGGAUUGUAAACUCCUGUUGUUGAGGAAGAUAAUGACGGUACUCAACAAGGAAGUGACGGCUAACUACGUGCCAGCAGCCGCGGUAAAACGUAGGUCACAAGCGUUGUCCGGAAUUACUGGGUGUAAAGGGAGCGCAGGCGGGAAGACAAGUUGGAAGUGAAAUCCAUGGGCUCAACCCAUGAACUGCUUUCAAAACUGUUUUUCUUGAGUAGUGCAGAGGUAGGCGGAAUUCCCGGUGUAGCGGUGGAAUGCGUAGAUAUCGGGAGGAACACCAGUGGCGAAGGCGGCCUACUGGGCACCAACUGACGCUGAGGCUCGAAAGUGUGGGUAGCAAACAGGAUUAGAUACCCUGGUAGUCCACACCGUAAACGAUGAUUACUAGGUGUUGGAGGAUUGACCCCUUCAGUGCCGCAGUUAACACAAUAAGUAAUCCACCUGGGGAGUACGACCGCAAGGUUGAAACUCAAAGGAAUUGACGGGGGCCCGCACAAGCAGUGGAGUAUGUGGUUUAAUUCGACGCAACGCGAAGAACCUUACCAAGUCUUGACAUCCUGCGACGAUGCUGGAAACAGUAUUUUCCUUCGGGACGCAGAGACAGGUGGUGCAUGGUUGUCGUCAGCUCGUGUCGUGAGAUGUUGGGUUAAGUCCCGCAACGAGCGCAACCCUUAUGGUCAGUUACUACGCAAGAGGACUCUGGCCAGACUGCCGUUGACAAAACGGAGGAAGGUGGGGAUGACGUCAAAUCAUCAUGCCCUUUAUGACCUGGGCUACACACGUGCUACAAUGGACAGAGCAGAGGGAAGCGAAGCCGCGAGGUGGAGCGAAACCCAUAAAACUGUUCUCAGUUCGGACUGCAGUCUGCAACUCGACUGCACGAAGAUGGAAUCGCUAGUAAUCGCGAAUCAGCAUGUCGCGGUGAAUACGUUCUCGGGCCUUGCACACACCGCCCGUCA